rnacentral:rRNA from 1 species
GACGAACCGUGCAAACGUUAUUCGGAAUCACUGGGCUUAAAGGGCGCGUAGGCGGGUCGUCAAGUCAGGGGUGAAAUCCCGCGGCUCAACCGCGGAAGUGCCUUUGAUACUGACGGCCUCGAGGGAGGUAGGGGCGUGUGGAACUUCCGGUGGAGCGGUGAAAUGCGUAGAUAUCAGGAGGAACACCGGUGGCGAAGGCGGAUCUCUGGGCCGAUACUGACGCUGAGGAGCGAAAGCGUGGGGAGCGAACAGG